CAUGGAGGUUAUUUCCCCCAUUUCCUCCUCCACCAUCAAUGCCAUCUGACUGCGAGGAAGAUGGCCGGGAGCUCCUUGACCGAGGCUGUCCGUUCAGUCCCAGUGGUGUUCCCAGACGAUGGCUCAUCUGAGAUGCUGUGUCAUCUGACUCCCACCUCUCCAAUUCCUCCCGUACCAGCCUCUCCAUCUGCUCCCUGUGGAUCUCACUGUCACGGCCCAGCCUUUCAUCCUCUGUCACUCCAUCCAACAGCCUUCCCAACACAUCUCUCCUUUUCAGUUUGGCUCUCUCCAUCGCUUCCAGCUUCACAAUCACUGCGUCAAUCUUGGAGACAAUGCUGCCAAUGGAGUGCUCCAUGCGAUCCACCCUCCUCAUGAGUACUUGGAACUCUUCAUAGGACACUCCACUAGAGCUGCUGCCCCUCCUCCUUG
rnacentral:lncRNA from 1 species